rnacentral:rRNA from 1 species
UUGGACAAUGGGCGAAAGCCCGAUCCAGCCAUGCCGCGUGUGUGAAGAAGGUCUUCGGACUGUAANGCACGUUAAGUUGGGAGGAANGGCAGUAGGUUAAUACCCUGCAAGUUUGACGUUACCAACAGAAUACGCACCGCGUAACUUCGUGCCAGCAGCCGCGGUAAUACGAAGGGUGCAAGCGUUAAUCGGAAUUACUGGGCGUAAAGCGCGCGUAGGUGGUUCGUUAAGUUGGAAGUGAAAGCCCCGGGCUUAACCUGGGAAUUGCUUUCAACACUGACGAGCUAGAGUACGGUAGAGGGUAGUGGAAUUUCCUGUGUAGCGGUGAAAUGCGUAGAUAUAGGAAGGAACAUCAGUGGCGAAGGCGACUACCUGGACUGAUACUGACACUGAGGUGCGAAAGCGUGGGGAGCAAACAGG